UAUCGGCACACUCCGCUACUUAUACGAGCUCGACCUCAGUAACAACAAAUUCUCCGGCAACUUCCCCUACCAAGUCCUCCGUGCCAAGAAGUUAGUAUUCCUCGACCUCAGGUUCAACACCUUUUCCGGCGUAGUACAUCCAGAUGUCUUCCUUCUCGACCUCGACUUGCUAUUCAUCAACAACAACAAUUUCAAGCAAACACUCCCAGAAUGCCUUGGCUCAACCACUGCGCUUUAUUUAACCCUAGCUAACAACUACUUCGUUGGUGGAAUCCCUAAGAGCAUUGGUCGAGCUGCCAACACCCUACUGGAGGUUCUUUUCUUGAACAACACGCUAACCGGUUGUUUGCCGUAUGAGAUCGGACUUUUGAAGAAAUCCACAGUGUUCGACGUCGGAUUCAACGAUCUAACAGGCCCAAUCCCGCACUCGUUUCAGUGCUUAGAGAAAAUGGAGCUUCUGAACUUGGCUCACAAUAAGUUCUACAACGAGGUGCCGGAGGCGGUGUGCAAUCUUCCGAACUUAUCGAAUUUCACUGUAUCG
rnacentral:lncRNA from 1 species